rfam:Triticum aestivum genome assembly, contig: Triticum_aestivum_CS42_TGACv1_scaffold_177533_2DS
AUUCUACUCCCUCCGUCCCAAAAUUCUUGUCUUAGAUUUGUCUACAUACGGAUGUAUCUAAUACUAAAAUGUGACUUGAUACAUCCAUAUUUAGACAAAUCUAAGUCAAUAAUUUUGGGACGGAGGGAGUAUUUG